rnacentral:rRNA from 1 species
CAGUAGCCGCGGUAAUACGUAGGGUCCGAGCGUUGUCCGGAAUUACUGGGCGUAAAGAGCUCGUAGGUGGUUUGUCGCGUUGUUCGUGAAAACUCACAGCUCAACUGUGGGCGUGCGGGCGAUACGGGCAGACUGGAGUACUGCAGGGGAGACUGGAAUUCCUGGUGUAGCGGUGGAAUGCGCAGAUAUCAGGAGGAACACCGGUGGCGAAGGCGGGUCUCUGGGCAGUAACUGACGCUGAGGAGCGAAAGCGUGGGGAGCGAACAGGAUUAGAGACCCGUGUAGUCCCUGUCUCUUAUAU